GACAAAAUGAUCCAGCUCAACAUUUCACUCAGAGUACAUCCACCCCUUGCAAUGGGCCACAGUGCAGACAUUUCUGAAGCAGCCCUAAACACACUGGUGCCAAGACUGUUGGAAGGGUAACAGGCCUUGACAUUGCUGUCAGCCAUUGGCUGGUACAACUAGCCCAAACACAACACCACAUUUAGGUGGCUAGAUUACCUGGGAACCUCAGUUCAAUCUUUGUGGCAUAUUUUGUUUUGUUCCGCAGAGAUAUUGAGUCUAGUCGUGGGAUCUGUAGCAUCUUCCUGUUGCAUCCAGAGUCACCACCAAAUGUGCUAAACAGUCCUACAACUUCGGGAAGAGAGUUUGCACUUGCAAAGAGCAGCCUGUUCUCAUGUAUUUGCUUGACUUGUAGACUAAAUCAAGAGUGCUGCCAUAAAGUUAAUGAACAGCAAGUGCCAGCCAGCUACAGAAUUUUUCAAAGGAAACCCUGCAAACUAAAAAAGAUGCCCUCAAACCAUCUGACUGCAGAGAGACUACGGGGAUUUUAGACCAGAUGGCUAAAUAUACAGAGGAACUCAUUUUAAAUAUAGUCUGUUUCUGCAGUGCAGAGGAAUGUUGCUGCAGAAAACACAAACAGUGCUUACCACUGGCUGCUGUGGAAGUCCGUAGUUACUUAAGGAAAAAUUCUUAUCUUAAUGCUACUAGCCUGGAGCAAUAGAUUGGUGAAAGAGCAAAACUGGAAAGCUGCAACAAAAAGAAGUACCUCGCCUGCAGCACAAGCAAUACAAAACAGAGGCAGAGGGUCACUGACAGUUUGUCAGCAAUAGCCCUAAUACCCCUAACAAACUGAGAGCCAAAUCUGCCUUAUCA